GAUGAACGCUGGCGGCGUGCUUAACACAUGCAAGUCGAACGGUGAACGAGGGAGCUUGCUCCCUCCGGAUCAGUGGCGAACGGGUGAGUAACACGUGAGCAAUCUGCCCUUGACUCUGGGAUCAGCGUUGGAAACGACGUCUAAUACCGCAUACGAGACGCGAAGGCAUAUUCAGCGUCUGGAAAGAACUUCGGUCCAGGAUGAGCUCGCGGCCUAUCAGGUAGUUGGGGAGGUAAUGGCGCACCAAGCCUACGACGGGUAGCCGGCCUGAGAGGGUGACCGGCCACACUGGGACUGAGACACGGCCCAGACUCCUACGGGAGGCAGCAGUGGGGAAUAUUGCACAAUGGGCGCAAGCCUGAUGCAGCAACGCCGCGUGAGGGACGACGGCCUUCGGGUUGUAAACCUCUUUUAGCAGGGAAGAAGCGAAAGUGACGGUACCUGCAGAAAAAGCACCGGCUAACUACGUGCCAGCAGCCGCGGUAAUAC
rnacentral:rRNA from 1 species